rnacentral:rRNA from 1 species
ACGGGAGGCAGCAGUGAGGAGUAUUGGUCAAUGGGCGAGAGCCUGAACCAGCCAAGUAGCGUGCAGGACGACGGCCCUAUGGGUUGUAAACUGCUUUUGUCAGGGAAUAAAGUCAGCCACGCGUGGCUGUUUGCAUGUACCUGAAGAAUAAGGACCGGCUAAUUCCGUGCCAGCAGCCGCGGUAAUACGGAAGGUCCGGGUGUUAUCCGGAUUUAUUGGGUUUAAAGGGAGCGUAGGCUGUAUUUUAAGCGUGUUGUGAAAUGUAGGCGCUCAACGUCUGCACUGCGGCGCGAACUGGAGUACUUGAGUACGCGGGAAGCUGGCGGAGUUCGUCGUGUAGCGGUGAAAUGCUUAGAUAUGACGAAGAACUCCGAUUGCGAAGGCAGCUGGCUGUAGCGCAACUGACGCUGAAGCUCGAAAGUGUGGGUAUCGAACAGGAUUAGAUACCCUGGUA